rnacentral:lncRNA from 10 species
GCAUGGUCCUUUCAUAUUACAGCAUAGCAAACCAUCCUCACAGCAGCCCGCAAAGACAGAAGUGACAGGUUCUUAUUAUUCCCAGAAAACAGACAGGGAGAGGAUUCACCCAAGAACACCGAGUCUGGGAAUGACAGAGCAUAGGUUUGCACCAGCAUCUCUGACUACUGGCCUUCACUCCUUCCAGAAGGCCCCGUUGGCUGAAGAGCAGGCACAUUACAAAGCCAGAAGAGUCCAGGAGGGCAUUGUCUGACCGUGAAGGCACAGUCUGUCUCCAGCAGACAUCGCAGUGGCAGCGAGGGACAGGAGACCUAGGAUGCGGAACAUUCCGACAGAGGUCAAUUCUGCACUCAAUUCUGAUCGCUUUGCCUUGAACACACACACCUUCUGCUGAUGGGUACAACGGAGAGGACUUCCCAAUCUGUAAAAAACAAUUUUUACUUGAACUUUGAAAUUUAGCUACGCUAAUGAUUUUAAAGAAAACCCUCGCCUACUGUGGACAUUGUUUCUGCAUACAAAUGGAACCUUUGUGGAGGGUUCAGCUCUUCCUCCGCCCUUGGAUGUCCACGCCAGACGAGGACAUGGUGCUGGCAGCAUGUGGGCUUGAAGUGGCCACAUCGCAGGCGCUUAUUAGCCCAUGGUUCGUGCUCCUUUAAAAUAGCCACUCUUGCAUGUCAACACCUCCUCUUCGGCCAUCUUCCAAGCAGUUAUUACCUCAAAGACUCGGAGAAGCUGUAUUGAGAAACUGUUGAAUGAAGCACUUCCUUCAUUGUAUCCCACGGAACACCAGCCCCAUGAAAUGCUUUGGGGAAAAACGUGAAAGGCCCUUGUGGCCGGGGACACCUGGUGACUGCCUACUGAGUGUCCUCAUGGGUCCCUGCACAUGAACACAGCGGAUGCCUUCAGAAGUCCUGAAAUAGUGUUAUCUCACUCGGCGGUACCCAAACUCAAC